GAUGAACGCUGGCGGCGUGCCUAAUACAUGCAAGUCGAGCGAACGGACGAGAAGCUUGCUUCUCUGAUGUUAGCGGCGGACGGGUGAGUAACACGUGGAUAACCUACCUAUAAGACUGGGAUAACUUCGGGAAACCGGCGCUAAUACCGGAUGAUAUUUUGAACCGCAUGGUUCAAAAGUGAAAGACGGUCUUGCUGUCACUUAUAGAUGGAUCCGCGCUGCAUUAGCUAGUUGGUAAGGUAACGGCUUACCAAGGCAACGAUGCAUAGCCGACCUGAGAGGGGGAUCGGCCACACUGGAACUGAGACACGGUCCAGACUCCUACGGGAGGCAGCAGUAGGGAAUCUUCCGCAAUGGGCGAAAGCCUGACGGAGCAACGCCGCGUGAGUGAUGAAGGUCUUCGGAUCGUAAAACUCUGUUAUUAGGGAAGAACAUAUGUGUAAGUAACUGUGCACAUCUUGACGGUACCUAAUCAGAAAGCCACGGCUAACUACGUG
rnacentral:rRNA from 1 species